rnacentral:rRNA from 1 species
AAAUUGAAGAGUUUGAUCAUGGCUCAGAUUGAACGCUGGCGGCAGGCCUAACACAUGCAAGUCGAACGGUAACAGGAAGCAGCUUGCUGCUUUGCUGACGAGUGGCGGACGGGUGAGUAAUGUCUGGGAAACUGCCUGGUGGAGGGGGAUAACUACUGGAAACGGUAGCUAAUACCGCAUAACGUCGCAAGACCAAAGAGGGGGACCUUCGGGCCUCUUGCCAUCGGAUGUGCCCAGAUGGGAUUAGCUAGUAGGUGGG